rnacentral:tRNA from 1 species
GCCGCAGUGGUGGAAUUGGCAGACACGCAUGCCUUAGGAGCAUGUGUCUUAUGACGUGGGGGUUCGACUCCCUCCUGCGGCACCA